rnacentral:rRNA from 1 species
AUUGAACGCUGGCGGCAGGCUUAACACAUGCAAGUCGAACGGAUCCUUCGGGAUUAGUGGCGGACGGGUGAGUAACACGUGGGAACGUGCCCUUUGGUUCGGAACAACUCAGGGAAACUUGAGCUAAUACCGGAUGUGCCCUUCGGGGGAAAGAUUUAUCGCCAUUGGAGCGGCCCGCGUCUGAUUAGCUAGUUGGUGGGGUAAAGGCCCACCAAGGCGACGAUCAGUAGCUGGUCUGAGAGGAUGAUCAGCCACAUUGGGACUGAGACACGGCCCAAACUCCUACGGGAGGCAGCAGUGGGGAAUCUUGCGCAAUGGGCGAAAGCCUGACGCAGCCAUGCCGCGUGAAUGAUGAAGGUCUUAGGAUUGUAAAAUUCUUUCACCGGGGACGAUAAUGACGGUACCCGGAGAAGAAGCCCCGGCUAACUUCGUGCCAGCAGCCGCCGUAAUAC